GAUAAGAUGGCUGAAAAUUUAGGCUUUAAAUUGUAAAUUUAUAUAUGGGUAGACCCUCUUAUCA
rnacentral:tRNA from 1 species